rnacentral:rRNA from 1 species
GACAGAGGCCCCGAGCGUUAGGCGGAAUCACUGGGCUUAAAGCGUGUGUAGGCGGACCCCUAAGUGUCUUGUGAAAUCCCACGGCUCACCCGUGGAACUGCUGGGCAUACUGGGGGUCUUGGGCCGUCCAGGGGCAGCCGGAACAAGCGGUGGAGCGGUGAAAUGCGUAGAUAUCGCUUGGAACGCCGAAGGUGAAAACAGGCUGCUGGGGUUGCGCCGACGCUGAGACACGAAAGCCAGGGGAGCAAACGGG